rnacentral:lncRNA from 1 species
UUUGCCUUGUCCCAUGGCACCGAACCAAACUUGUGCUUGUAUGAUCUAUUAAAAAUAAAUAAUUGGAAGUGCAAGAAAAAAAAAAUUAUGCAAGAAAAUAUAAACAAUUUUGAAAUGCAAGAAAAAAAAAAAGAUUAUGCAAGAAAAUAUAGACAAAUUGGAAAUGUAAAAAAAAAAAAAAAAAGAUUAUGCAAGAAAAAGAAAUAGAAUAUGCAACAAUAAUAAAAAAGUUACAUUAAAUUGAUUAAAAUGACAAUUAUAAAUAUUUUACCUCAUCGGAUAGAUUUUGACCGUUUCGAAUGUUCUCCCUUGCUUUUGUCAAGGCAUUUCUUCAUUUCCCUAACUCUCAAUUCAUAAUUUUCCAUCUACUAGACAAGGCCAUUUCGGUCCGAAUGGAACCCGAUAUUUGACAAAAUUCUCCAUGAAUUUUGCUCCACAUAUGAGAGAACUUCAUCUCAUUGCCCGUGAUAGGGAAAUGACUAACGUUCACCCAAGACUGACACAACACAAUAUCUUCCAGAGUUG